UACAGAGGUCUCAAGCGUUGUUCGGAUUUAUUGGGCGUAAAGGGUGCGUAGGCGGUGCGGUAAGUCGGAUGUGAAAUCCCGGGGCUCAACCCCGGAACUGCAUUCGAUACUGCCUUGCUUGAGCACUGGAGAGGAGACUGGAAUUUACGGUGUAGCAGUGAAAUGCGUAGAUAUCGUAAGGAAGACCAGUGGCGAAGGCGAGUCUCUGGACAGGUGCUGACGCUGAGGCACGAAGGCCAGGGGAGCAAACGGG
rnacentral:rRNA from 1 species